rnacentral:rRNA from 1 species
UCUCCAGACUCCUACGGGAGGCAGCAGUGAGGAAUAUUGGUCAAUGGGCGGAAGCCUGAACCAGCCAAGUCGCGUGAGGGAUUAAGGCCCUGCGGGUCGUAAACCUCUUUUGCCGGGGAGCAGUGGUCCGGACGCGUCCGGACCGGGAGAGUACCCGGAGAAAAAGCAUCGGCUAACUCCGUGCCAGCAGCCGCGGUAAUACGGAGGAUGCGAGCGUUAUCCGGAUUUACUGGGUGUAAAGGGCGUGCAGCCGGAGAGACAAGUCAGAUGUGAAAUCCACAGGCUCAACCUGUGAACUGCAUUUGAAACUGUUUCCCUUGAGUAUCGGAGAGGUCAUCGGAAUUCCUAGUGUAGCGGUGAAAUGCGUAGAUAUUAGGAAGAACACCAGUGGCGAAGGCGGAUGACUGGACGACAACUGACGGUGAGGCGCGAAAGCGUGGGGAGCAAACAGGAUUAGAUACCCGGGUA